GCGGUUAUGGUGGAAUUGGUAGACACGCCAUCUUGAGGGGGUGGUGCGCUCCGCGCGUGUGCGAGUUCAAAUCUCGCUAACCGCACCA
rnacentral:tRNA from 1 species